AUGGCGGAGGAACCAUCCGCCAAGCGUCAUCAUGCCAAGACGUCGGACAAGAGGAGCAACCUCGUCGACAUUAACGUCCCCGGCGAGAAGCGCGAGUACACAACAACCCUCAAAGGGGUUGAGCUCCAGGGCAACGAGACGCUGGAGAUCGUCUGCACCAGCGUACCAGAAAAGGCCGACGAGGUGAUCUCCAGGCUCUGGAUGAAGCUUGGCGGCAGGGUUCGUAGGAUCGUCAGCGUUGGUGUGGACUACACCAACGAAGAUGAACCUUCCCAGAAGGCAGCAGUCCUGCAAUUAUGCGUCGACGAACUCUUCUUGGUGUACCACAUCACAGCGGCCACAAAAUGGCCCAAGCGCCUGACCGAGAUGUUGUAG
rnacentral:rRNA from 1 species